rnacentral:rRNA from 1 species
AUCUUCCGCAAUGGGCGAAAGCCUGACGGAGCAAUGCCGCGUGGAGGCAGAAGGCCCACGGGUCGUAAACUCCUUUUCUCGGAGAAGACGCAAUGACGGUAUCUUAGGAAUAAGCAUCGGCUAACUCUGUUCCAGCAGCCGCGGUAAGACAGGGGAUGCAAGCGUUAUCCGGAAUGAUUGGGCGUAAAGCGUCUGUAGGUGGCUCCUUAAGUCCGCUGUCAAAUCCCAGGGCUCAACCCCGGACAGGCAGUGGAAACUACUGGGCUGGAGUACGGUAGGGGCAGAGGGAAUUUCCGGUGGAGCGGUGAAAUGCGUAGAGAUCGGAAAGAACACCAAAGGCGAAGGCACUCUGCUGGGCCGACACUGACACUGAGAGACGAAAGCUAGGGGAGCAAAU